rnacentral:rRNA from 1 species
UAGGGAAUAUUGCAAAAUGGGCGAAAGCCCGAUGCAGCAACGCCGCGUGGGCGAUGAAGGCCUUCGGGUCGUAAAGCCCUUUUUGAGGGGAUGAGGAAGGACAGUACCCUCAGAAUAAGCCUCGGCUAACUACGUGCCAGCAGCCGCGGUAAAACGUAGGAGGCGAGCGUUAUCCGGAUUUACUGGGCGUAAAGCGCGUGCAGGCGGAUUGGAGAGUUGGAUGUGAAAGCUCCCGGCUUAACUGGGAGAGGUCGUUCAAAACUACAAGACUUGAGAUUGGUAGAGGAAAAUGGAAUUCCGGGUGUAGUGGUGAAAUGCGUAGAUAUCCGGAGGAACACCAGUGGCGAAAGCGGUUUUCUGGACCAAUUCUGACACUCAGAUGCGAAAGCUAAGGUAGCAAACG